GUGUCAGCCGCCGCGGUAAUACAGAGGGUGCGAGCGUUAAUCGGAUUUACUGGGCGUAAAGCGUGCGUAGGCGGCUUAUUAAGUCGGAUGUGAAAUCCCCGAGCUUAACUUGGGAAUUGCAUUCGAUACUGGUGAGCUGGAGUAUGGGAGAGGAUGGUAGAAUUCCAGGUGUAGCGGUGAAAUGCGUAGAGAUCUGGAGGAAUACCGAUGGCGAAGGCAGCCAUCUGGCCUAAUACUGACGCUGAGGUACGAAAGCAUGGGGAGCAAACAGGAUUAGAAACCCCCGUAGUCC
rnacentral:rRNA from 1 species